CCGCCAUUAGCUCUCACCAACACCUACAGCAGCUGAAACCCCCCCUUUGUCCAACAAAAUACACACACCCAUCAGGAAAAGAAAAAAAAAAGGAAGAGAGGAGAGGUAUCUGCAAAAAAAGGGGAGAGAAGAGUGAGGGCGGCACCGGCGGGCGUCACUACUGCCGCACCGUCAGGUUGCACAGAGAAGAGAGAGAGGGAGAGCUGAGGAAGGAGAAGAGAGGGAGACAGCGCCGGUGGGCAUCACUGCCAUCGUCGUCGUCGCUGUGCCGUCAGGAAGGAGAUCCAAGAGAAAGGAAGAGAGCGCCAGGGGAGGAGCUACUGCCACCGACCUGGAGCUCGCUGCACGCGCCCCGCCGCGUCGUCGUCAGGCCUGCCGUUGUCGCUGAAGAUUUGCCGUCGCCGAUGCCUGGUAACCAUCACCGAGCUGCAUGUUGUCAUCGCCGUUGAGGGAGUCGCCGCCGCUACUCGCCGCUUUGAGCUGCACCGUCGCAAUUGUGAUCACCAGAAACGGUGUUGUGGCCGUCAGAACUGCUUGGAGAUCGCCACUGCUUCUUCUGUCUCUGUUCAGACUCCACCACUGCCACUGCCACCAGAAACCACCACUGAGGCCUAAGUUAGUUUGAUUAUAUAGUCACCGCUGCUGCAGAACCAUCAGAGCUUGCGGCUGUUAUUAGAGCUGUCGUCCGGCCAAUUUAGAAGCUGCUACUGUGUCGUUCUAUUCUGUUUAUCAUGAUAUGUGGUUGUUGUCGUGAUCCCUACGGUUGCUUGGGAAUUUCUGCGGUUGCUGCCGAUUAACAUGAGAAUAAGGAUUUAAUGGGUUUAGUUAUGCAACUUACGACUAAUCGAGGAACCAGAUGAAGAAGCAUUAAGAAGAGUUAUACUGCAUUUGGUUUAUAUGUUGUUGUAUUAAUUAGAUUAUUUUCUUCCCUCGUCCUUGUUUUUAUAAAUUUUGUAAGAGAGAUAGGAGUUGUAUGUUUUAUAUAUAUUAUAUUAUAAGAUAUUAUGUAAGAAGUCUUGUAUAUGAAUCUACGUCUGCUUGUUUUUUUUAGGAUAAAGUAUUUAUUUUCGGAUGUCAAAGCAAUCAGCGAUACGGUGUUGAGUCACAGGCUCCUAUUUUAAUAUUAAGUAUAUGAAGUAGUCGUAAUACUUCUUGUUAUCAGAGUGGCGCAGCCAAAAGGGUGACAUUCUGGUAGUGAGGGUGUUACAUUUCUCUUCCUCCAUUCCUCUGAGCGCCCAAAUAUCCCUGCUGUCCUCAUUAGAUUUUAAAGCCUUGCCUUUGUUUUGUUGUUCCGUUCCUCCUGCUGUAUUUGUUAUGUUUUUAGCACCAAAACUGGCCUUCAGAAUCUCCCUUAUUAUUUUUGGGCCCAAUUCAUCCUCCGUUCUACAUCCCUCUUCUUUCCUACCCUUUUUUUGUGUCUUGCUGGUCCACUUCCAUUAGACUUGUAUGGUCCAAAUUGCUUGGGCUUCCUACUUUUUGGUUAAUACUUUUCUGUUCUCCCUGUUGUUUCCCGGUCCAGUACCCAGCUUCUAUUCCCUCUUUUAUUGGGCCUGGCCCAUUAGUAUUCAUUCCUCUUCUGGCCCUGAUCUCAUUUAAGUCUGUCAUAAUUUUUUCUAGUAUCUUCUUGGCUCUUCUAUUGUAAUUCCCUUGAUUUUCUGUCAUCCUCAACUGAUUAAGAGGGAUUUCUUCUAC